rnacentral:piRNA from 1 species
UGAGUGUGUUCCCAUGUAGGAGGU